rnacentral:misc_RNA from 1 species
UUUUUUUUUCUUUUUAUAGAUUGAUAUUAUAUAUAGGUUUUGUCUUUCUUACAUUAACAAAAUAAUAUAUCCAAUCUUUUGUAUUACAAAACUAUUUAUAUAAAUUAAAAUUUAGAGAUUUUGUUAUAUAAAUUGAAGUUGAGGAAUGAUUGUGGUACAUAUUUAAGAGAGGCGGAUCAAAUUUUGUUGUAUUUAACUUAUAAUCGGUGAUAUUAAGUCAUAAGGAUUUUAGUGAUAUUCAAAAUAAAGUUUAGGGAUUUGUGUAAUACAAAUUGAAGUUGUAUGGUAUAAUCAGUUAAGUUGAGAGAUGGUGGAUGAAAUUUAUCUUGAAAUAGUCUUUUUAAGUGUAAAGUCAGCACCCUAGAACAUGUCAUAAUUGGUGAAAGUAACAAUGAAUACAAUUCGUGGAUGUGAAGCUAGAUAUUAUGUGCCAUAACCAAAUUCAUUAGAAAUGUUUUGGGUUGUUCUGCUAUGAUUUCAUGGUUUGGAGAUGCUUAAUUUGUCAGUAACAUGUGAAUAUGAGAAGAAACCAUAUUUGAUGUGUUUUGUGUAUUUAUCUUAAGGGACAUUCGCACACACUUUCCAUAAUAUCUAUCCAAAAUCCUUUCCUCUAUUCGUCUGUUCUAGUCCCUAUUUGCAUGACCAUUGGCUUAGAGUGAGACGGUGAGUACUUUCUUAAAUUACUCAUGACUAUCCUAUGAAAAUAGUGCAUUGUUAUCUUGUUUUUGGAAAUCCUAUAUAGCAAUCAACUGAACUGAACUAUUAAAUACAAAGAUUCCCUUAUGUUAUUGUUUCAUGUAGGUAGUUCUUGUUCCACGGUUAGCCAUUAAAAAAUUUAUAGGAAUAUUAAGGUGACUCUUUGUUUCUCAUAGAUUUUGAUGCUCUUUUUUUCUCACCAGACACCAGAGAAAGGAAAGCCAUUAAAAUGAUUAACAUCUUCCUUUAUCAUCUCAUUCUCAAUGUCUUUCCUCAUCCCUUUCCUUGUACUAUUUUUGUUUGACGUCUCCUGUGGAAAUGCUUAAUAUGGAUUGAACUCAUGAAUAGGGUAAAGAAAAAUUGCAGUUAGUACAGUUGCCGGCAUUCCUACAUUAGCUUGCUGCAUUUUUAUAUAACAAUUUUGUUUGCAGCCGUUGCCAGGUAUACUGAUGUUAACCAAGCUCAUGGAGGAAGCUAUUCCGCGUAAAGAUUUCAUUUGUGAGUUAUGACAAAACAUUAUGUAUUUACAAAUGACCUUGUCAUUUGACAGGAACUCAUUUUCUCACAAUAAAGGUAAAACUUUGACACAUAUUACACUGAAUUAGGAUACACUCAGCAACAGCUCUGUACCAUGCUACUGCAAUGUCGGCCGUUGGAUGGUAAAAAUAUGACGGAUGCACAUGAAGUUGCAAGACACAAGCAGCACAUCAUUAUUAACACACGGUAUCAAGCUAGUGUCUUGUAUUAGGCAUGAUUUGCGGAGAAGGAAGAUGCUGCACUAUGGUUAGACCAUACAAAAAUUUUCCAGAAAGGCCUUUGCUUGCGCUUGGGAUGGUUAGCUAACAGCUCUGAUUCUGAUCUUUUCAACAUCUCCCACAUCACUUGAACAUCCUCAUAUCCACAGGUCUGUAUAUCAUUGUGAAGCUUCAGAAGUCCAGCACCUGCUCAAAAACACAAAACACCAGGGGACAAAAACAUGUAAGAUUUUUUCUGAUUCUUGAAUGGAAUAAAAAACAAAGCUGACCCAAUUAUUAAGCCUAUAAUCCAAGAGCCUAGAUGACAUUAAUCAUCUGAUGCUCCAAGUGGUUGGGAAACAAAGGCUGUUUUGUUGUUUUAAAGCAUUAAUCAACAACCUACCCCAGAUGGAGCUGGACCAAUUUGUGGUUGUUGGGGCAUACAUGUCCAGUAAGCAGUGAUUGGGCAAAUAAUUUUUGGUCAGAUAUCAGAAGUGACACACCUAGUUAUAGGCAAUUAGGCAAAAAGGUACACUGAAAUAGAUGUUGAUCUUAAAUGUGAGGCCUCUUCAUCUUUCGGCGCAAGAUGUUAAUUGAAAAGGUGACGAUUAUACCUAUAAAGAUUUUUCUAUUAGCUGCAAAGCGCAGGAAACAAGCCAGAAAUAUUUUCUUUUAGCAUUGCCACUAUCAUUUUAGGCAACUGAAAGUUUUGUCGUUUAAUUAAGCAUUAUUUUAUUUCUCUGAGUGGUUUUAACCUAGUGGAUGUAGUUGGUCUUAAAUAGAAUCUACAAAUGGGAGCCAUUUUCUCCGUUUUUUGGAAUUCUUCAAUUGGGUUCGCUUGUAUGCCUUAUUAUAAAACACUUGAGAAAUAUCUAACCAUUUUUCGUAUUAAAAAAAAUAAUAAUAAAUUUUAAAUUUAUUAUAAUUAUCUGUGCAGUCAACGUGGUCAAGGACUUCUAGAAAGUUGGAAAUACGGUCAAAAUUCUUGGGCUGCAUAUUGCCACGGGAAAUUAACAAAAAAAUGAGAGAGAGUACAAAACGCACCGUUUUGAGCACCAGCGUCUCCUCAACAUCACAAAUCACAAUGUUGUUCUCAUAGGAGGAAGAGAAGGAACCAACCAGACGCAAACCCACCAUUGAAGAGAAGGCCACCGAACUGGUAAGACCUCUGGCCCAAGAAUGCCAAACCCUUAAAAACAUGUUGUCUUCUCUAUGCAACUCCAAAACUGCAUAAUUCUUUCUUCCUCUUGCUAAGCUAAAAAGUUUCCGUUUGGCAGCAUGGAAUUUGGGGACCCAACAAUCGAAUCAAAUGGAAAAUUUGGAUUUAGUGAUUUAGGAAUUGCUGCUCUCUUUUGUUGUGGGUUGACGACUUUCUGCUCUUUUGAUUCCUUCAUGGUGGAUUCGAGGCUGCUUUGAGUGAAAUUAGGCAUUUAGAGAAGCUGAAAAAGAAGAGAAUUUGUUGCUCUGUUAAGAACCGUUAAUUUGCAAAGCGGUGCGUUUUGCGCUCGCUCUCCUUUUUCUUUUCUCAUGUUUACCGCCUUGUCAUCAGCAUAGCAGGUUGCAU